rnacentral:rRNA from 1 species
UACGUAGGGACCAAGCGUUGUUCGGAUUUACUGGGCGUAAAGGGCGCGUAGGCGGCGCUGUAAGUCACUUGUGAAAUCUCUGAGCUUAACUCAGAACGGCCAAGUGAUACUGCAGUGCUAGAGUGCGGAAGGGGCAAUCGGAAUUCUCGGUGUAGCGGUGAAAUGCGUAGAUAUCGAGAGGAACACCUGCGGCGAAGGCGGGUUGCUGGGCUGACACUGACGCUGAGGCGCGAAAGCUAGGGGAGCGAACGGG